rfam:Candidimonas bauzanensis strain CGMCC 1.10190 genome assembly, contig: Ga0070552_126
GAGGCAGGUUGGGCAAUCGCGGUGCUUAUGGCAUCGAGGAAGGUCCGGACUCCACAGAGCGGGGUAGCGGCUAACGGCCGCCCACCCGUGCGCCGCGCAAUUUGCGCGUCGCACGGUUGAGGAACAGGGCCACAGAGACGAGUCUGCGGCGCGGGCGCACUAUGUGCGCACUGGCACGGCCAUCUCCGUGCUGCGUGCCGGGGCAACCCGGUACGGCGCGGCAGGGUGAAACGCGGCAACCUCUACCCGGAGCAACAUCAAAUAGGCAUACGCCUGGCUUCGUGCCAAAAGAGCGGCUCGCUCGAGUAUGCGGGUAGAUGGCUAGAGCCCGGCAGCAAUGCCGGGCCCAGAGGAAUGAUUGCCCGCCAGGUUCGCCUGGUGUACAGAAUCCGGCCUAUAGGCCUGCCUCACUC